rnacentral:rRNA from 1 species
CCUACGGGGCGCAGCAGUGGGGAAUAUUGGGCAAUGGGCGCAAGCCUGACCCAGCAACGCCGCGUGAAGGAAGAAGGCUUUCGGGUUGUAAACUUCUUUUAUGAGGGACGAAACAAAUGACGGUACCUCAUGAAUAAGCCACGGCUAACUACGUGCAAGCAGCCGCGGUAAUACGUAGGUGGCAAGCGUUAUCCGGAUUUACUGGGUGUAAAGGGCGUGUAGGCGGGACUGCAAGUCAGAUGUGAAAAUUAUGGGCUCAACCCAUAACCUGCAUUCGAAACUGUAGUUCUUGAGUGAUGGAGAGG